rnacentral:tRNA from 1 species
GGGAUUGUGGCUCAGUUGCAGAGUGCAUGCCUCACAUGUGUGAGGCACUGGGUUCAAUCCUCAGCAGCACA